rnacentral:tRNA from 2 species
GCGGUCAUAGUUUAGUGGUAGGACACCUGCUUGCCAAGCAGGAGGUGGGAGUUCGAUUCUCCCUGACCGCACCA